UACGUAGGUGGCAAGCGUUGUCCGGAUUUACUGGGCGUAAAGAGCGCGCAGGCGGUCGUCCAAGUCGCGUGUGAAAGCCCCCGGCUCAACUGGGGAGGGUCAUUCGAUACUGUUCGACUCGAAGGCAGGAGAGGGAGGUGGAAUUCCCGGUGUAGUGGUGAAAUGCGUAGAUAUCGGGAGGAACACCAGUGGCGAAGGCGACUUCCUGGCCUGUUCUUGACGCUGAGGCGCGAAAGCUAGGGGAGCAAACGGG
rnacentral:rRNA from 1 species